UCGCUGCUGUCAGUGUCAUUUCAUCAGAAUUUGUCGUUUCUAGCAGUUUUUAUUAUUAUUUUUGUAUUAUUAUUGUUUACUAUAUUUAUAAUUAUAUAUAUUUUAAUGGGAAAUCAAAUUGAGUGAACAGGAGAGGAUUAACAAAAACUCUUUCACUGUCUAUCAUUUUAAUUUAUAUGAACCAUGUGUUUUAGAUGUUGCCCGGCGUGUGAUUUCAUGCGUGGGAUUUGUGGUGGACUUUGCGGCGGGAUCACAGGCCUAUGUGGGGCAACUAUAUGCUUGACCAUAUGUAUAUUCGCUUUGUUUAAUUUUAUGGUCAUAUGCUCCGUUGUUGUAUUCUAUAUGGGCCCCGAGGCAAUCAUAGGCAGAACAAUUUUCACUACACCCUCGACUACCACGUAAAUCACAUUUUUACAACGUUUGAUGGGAAAAAUUGGAACUUUAACAUCGAUAUAGGCAAUUCUGAUGACGGUCCAGGGCGUGGUGGUUGCUGCAUGUGCUGCAAUCGGGGGUGUGAAUGUCUUCAUGGGUGCACUAGUGGGCUAUGUGGGGGGCUUUUGGGUGUCUGCGGUGGGGGGCUAUGUUGUGCCAUAGCGGGAAUAUUCUUGAUCUCCGUCACAAUUAUAUGCACCAUCGUUUAUUACGCACUGAGAAUCGAUUUAGUACUAACAACAGAAACGUAAAUACUCUUGUUAUAAGUUUCGAUCGGAAAUUUUGAACUUUUAUUGUGUGAUUAUUUUUUUUGUUGAGACAUUACCUCUUUGGAAUCAUCAUUUGGAAGCUUAUUUGUUUCUCUACGACCGCAUUCUAAACGAGCAUACCACGUGAUAUUGGUUGGUAUAGAUGGAGCAUGUUCUAAGUAAUCCUGUACAAGCAAUAGUCGUGCUGGAAUGGUGUUUUUAUGCUUAGUAUAGACCGUUGUGAUGACGGUCCGGGCAGUUAUAGAUGUUGCGCGUGCUGUGUGCGGCUAUGCGAGUGUCUUCACGGAGCCACUACUGGCAUUUGCGGGGGGCUUGCCGGUAUCUGCGGUGGUGCUGUGUGUUGCGCCGUAGCUGGUAUCAUUUUGAUCGCCGUUGCGGUCGUAACUGCCAUAACUAUGUUUGCAUUGAACAUCGACAGCAUACUGACUAGCCCUAAAACUACUACUUAGUAUGUCGUGAAUUACAUCGUGUAAGUGCGUUAUCACCUAUUUCAUAUUUCCUUUAAAUCGUUAUUUUUGUUAUUACAAAGUAUUUAGCGUAUGUAUUUAGCUAGUACCGAUAUUGUUUACGUGUCAAUUUUAAAGCCAAGAUAUGAACUUGUCUUUAAUUCAUAGAUGGAAUUAAAGAUCAAGGUAAAAUUCGUGUUAUAGGGAGGUAAAUUCUAUAGCAGGUGACAGCAAGUAGAAUGGAAAACACUCCAAUGGAGUAUAGAAGAUGUUCAUAUGGUUCGAAUCAACAAUGGUUGAUUCGAACCGUAUGAACAUCUUGUAACAUGAAUAAUUAGUUGAAUGUUAUUACUUCCUGUUGUUAGUUUGAAAACUAUAUAAUGUACUCCAUUAACGAACUUAGAUGACUUGGAUGAUUCUUCUUAUGUUUUAGUAACAUUAAUGUUAACUGCAAUGAUUAUACGAAUAACAAUUGUCAAAAUUUUAACAUUGAAAAAUUUAAAUAUUAAAUUUCCACAAUAUCUGCGUGCCAAUAUCUAAAGUUCCUAAUAUUUGGUAUGAUAUAUCCAUCCCUUUCUGGCAAACUGAUAAUUACAUAGGCAAGAAAAUAAUGGCUACAAAUUUUACACGCAAUUUUUGGAACGGCUUUGCUCAUUCGUAUACAUUCCAUUUUAGUAUUAUAAAUUAGUUGGUUAUUUGUGAGUUAGAAUGACAUAUUUGUGAGAACUUAAUUCUAUCGCCACAGACAAAAAAUAUAUGGAAAUUGAGCUAGCAGCGCCUCAGUAGUACGUAAAAGAAAUAAUUAUUUUUUUAUAAAAGAUUUGUUGUUUUAGAAAUGUAUUGCUCUCGUAAAAUAUCAUGCUAACCUCACAGCUUGUUAUCCUAAUACCGAACCUGUACGAGCUGUGUUGUGUGACAUUUGAUUAUGGUGUUUUAUUAAGUGAAUGCGUUUACAUAUUUUAUUUUUUUAAAAGGCAACUAUUCUAUUUUUAACGAUAUAUAAAUUGUUUGUAACAGUAUACUUCUACUGUAUUUACAGUAUACGACUAUAACUGACCCCAAUCGUGCCUUCACUGGUGUAGCUGCCACGCCACGGGCUGGGCACGGGCACUUAUAUGUACACUAACUGGGACGUGCCCAAUUAUUAAAUAAUUAGUAGUAUCAACAAAGCUGGCUUACAGCGAGUUUUUGUCUGUACUCAAUUUUUGUUUGAGGUGUAGUUUUCAAUGGCUAAAUACUAUGGCGGGCACAAUGAACCAUCGUUACUUUUGCAUAGCAAAUAUUUUUAAUAUUUUUUUUUUGUACAAUUAUUUUCUCUUCUGAGAUGAGGAGACUAUUAUCGUUUUAUAUUGUGUGUAAAGAUCUCUAUCGCCAGAUACCAGGGCCGUGUCUCUUCAGGAGUCUAACAAAAUAUCGGUAUAGGUCAUACACUUAAAUAUAUAUCAACCUCAGUAUCGGUGUAAUUGUUUUAAAUAGUGACAAUAAAAGUAAAAUUUGUAUAUAAUUGUAUAUAUCCGCUCUCACUCCAUAAAUCAGACAUGUAGGCCACAAAUAUCCUGGAGUUCAUGUCGAUAGUUUAGCAGCUGUGGAGGACUGUCCGUUAGUGUUUCCCAAUGUUAGGGACACCAAGGGAUCUCUUUUCCCGGUAACAAUUCCUGCCACGGCCUUGGCACAGCUUUGAUCUGUGGGGAUGUAUCCCCAAUAAUUAAUAAUAAAGCCCUAUUUUUUAUUAUAUUUUUUUACAUUUAUUUAAUUAUUUAUAAUAUUUUUAUAGUUUUUUUUAUAUAGUAUUGUUUAGUGUUAUUUAUUGUAAAUAAAUAAA